CUGCCACUGAGGAGUCUCACAAUAGAACGAAACGGCCGUCAAACAG
rfam:Schistosoma margrebowiei strain Zambia genome assembly, scaffold: SMRZ_contig0000011